rnacentral:lncRNA from 1 species
GAGUGUUCAAAGUUGUGGAGGUGGUUGGAGGGGAUGGUGCCAUCUGGACCAAGGGGUUGGUGCCGGGCCGGGCCGAUGAAGAGCUCCAUGGAUAUGGACAUGGAGCACCCAACCAUGAUGAGGUAGAGCUCCAAGUACCUUUUCCUUGAGGUGGGGAACCAUGGCAUGGAGGUGUAGUACUUUGGGUUUAGGGCGUGGAGUUUGAUGUGGUUAAGGAGGUGCCACAAGCCUAGGGCAAAGAAGCCAAAUCCUGGUGCUACAUGCCCCACCAAAGUACCCAUGAUUUUUUUAAAGCUUUGUCUUGGGGGAGAGAGAGAGAGAGAGAGAGAGGGAGGGAGGGCACAAGGAUAUGAGAGAAGACGGGGGGAAGGUGGGGGUUUUAAAGGGGAGUUUCAAGCGGCAUCCACGUCAGAUCAGACUAGCAAGUAUUUUGUUUUUUUGCUAAUUUAGAUUGUAAAAUAUUUAAAAUUGUUCAUAUCAGAUUACCUAAGUAUUUAAAAUUGCUAUAUUUUUUAGUCAUUUUUUAAUAGUAACUAUUCACUUGGUAUUUUUUUAAUAAAUUUUCAUAAUGGAGAAGCUGAUGGAAUUAAAAAAAUAACUAGCUAAAAUAAAGAGUUAUUCGUUAUAAUUUAUUUCAAUUUUAGUGGGAUCUAACAAUAUUAGAUUAUCUUUUUAACUAAAUUAAGCAACAAUAAUUUGAUUAUUUUCUCAAUUUUUUCCUCUAGUUCUACAUUGAGAACUUGGAUAUUUAUUGGAAAAUUAAACAAGGCAAGACGAAAUGUAAAAUUAAAAAAGUAAUUCCUGCCUGUCUCUCUCUCUCUCUAGCUAGGUUAGGAAAAAGAGAAGAAAGCAGAUCACAACUAUUUGUCAAGAAAUUAAAUCCACAUUUCUAGUACUUACUCAAAAAAUGUAAAUGCUUCACUUCCUGAUCCCCAUUUCUUUCUCUAGAAAAAUUCAAAUUGCCAACAAAUGUAAAUGAAUGUUUUUUCCUCUAUUUUUAGUCAUGACUCUACCAUUAAUUUCACAUUUAAGUGGUAGUCGGGGGAGGGGGGGAUGCUGCUUAAUUAGUUGAGUGGUAGUCGUGGUCGUGGUCCUGGUGGGAGUGGCGGUGGUAGUCGUGGUAAGGGGCAUUCAAAAGUGGGGGGACUUAUUGGUUUACAAAAUAUUUCAUGGAACUCAAAGGGUUAAUGUCCAAUUUUUAGGACCUUUCACCAAUUUCACCUUUUUAAGUGGGAUCAUCUAAAUAAUUUUGGCUUAAAGACUGGUGAAGGAAAAAGAAGUACGUGUCAAACCACCCCACAUUGAGAGCUCGAUAUUUCCUUUUCCAAUUAAAGGUUACCUAUUGCUUAUGGAAUCGAAUUGGAUCACGAGGAAAUAGGACAUUUCUUUUUGGAUUUCUUAGUUCUUGUUUCUGUAUUUGAAAUUGUUUUGCAUUUAUAGCUAAAAGAAAACAACAACACAUGAGCUGUAAAAUAGCUCAGGUGUGAGAACAUAUAGAAUUGUACUUCAUGGGAGACUGCAAAAUAUAUUUUGCUUAAACCCUAUUCGUUUUAGGCUUUAUUCGGAUCAAGAAUUUCAAGAGAGAUUUGUUAAGAGAAAAAAAAUAUAAUGAAGAAAAAAUUAAAUUUGAUACGUUAAAUCAAUUAUCUUUCUAUUUAUUAUUUUUCUCAAAUUUUCAAUUCAAAUACAGCCUUUACGUAAUUAGUAUUACGAAACUGAGGGUCACAGUUUCAAAAUUCAAAUUGCUUGGACCAUUUAACAUAAUAGGAGUCUAAGGCAAGGUGGAAUAUUGAACGGGUCCUUUCUUCAAAGACAAUCAGAUGGGUUUUGCUUCUGAAAUGGUUAUAUAUACCCCCAAUGUUUAAUAUAUACAAAAGUACAUGAUAUUUGUUUUGAAAACUACCUAGCAUGGAAAAUUGUUUGAUUUGGCUGCUAAGUCAAUGUUGUAGAAUGAUUUUCAUAGUUUUUCUAUGUUAUUCAUUGUUUACCGAAAAGGAUGUAAAAUUUGAAGAUUUUUUAAAAAUAUUUUCUCAAAAACGCAUUCUUUUUUCGAGACUAGAAAACAUAUUUCAAAAUUCAUCCACUAAAUAAGAUUUCUAAAAAUUAUUCUGCAAAAUUGAUUUAGUAUUCCAUGGUUUAGAGGUGUUAUCAUCCCACGAAUCAGGAUGAUGAACUCGUGUGCUUGAUGGUAGGACCUACAUCAUCGUCCUUGUUGCAACUACAUAGAAAUGCCCUGGACCCCAUGGACUAGGAGCCUCUAAAAUUUUUUCCCAUUUGCAUUAGACUCACAAUGACUCCUUGGAACGGCUCGUGUUUUUUACUGAACUGGCCAAAGAUAGGCAAGAAUUCAAACGAAUCAUUUAGUUUCGGUCACCAUCUUAGGAGUUUACUAUUUUUGGAAGAAUUUGAUUUGACUCGUUUAUUACUUUGUUUCUCUGUUUUGAUUUGUGUCUGUCAAAAUCCUGAAAUCCUUUGUUUUGACUCGUAUCUAGAAUCUAUGAAUUUUGUACGUUUUGACCAUUUUCCUACUAGUUUUUUAAAAACAACCCUGAUUUGCAAAUAUUUGAUUUUCAAAACGAUGGGUAGUUUUUUUUUUCAAUUUUUGUUGAUCAAUUUAAUUUUCGUGAAACCAUGAUUUGGUUUUCAAUAUUCUAUAAAACAAAUCCAUGCAUCCGUUCACAUGGUUGUUCUUGAGCUGUGCCUGCCAGUGACUCACACGAAUGGACGGGUGAAGCCUUCGCAAGUCGAGUCAACUCUGUCUCGUGCCAUGCAAAAUGCAUGCUUCAUGAAUUCAUCUUUUUUCAACAGAAAAGGAUCAAAAUGAUUCGUAAAUAAGAGAAGAGACCUUUACAAGUGAUUGUUAUAAAUAAAUGAAGAAACAAACACAAUGAACUUCACCCAAAGCGAAAAACAGACCAAACAAUAAACUCAUUUCAAUGACCCCUCAACUUUUUACCUAAGUUCAUGGAUUCAUUUGCAGCUAAUUUAAUUGUGGGCUUAAUCUAUAAAAAAUAAAAAUAAAAAACAUAUUCAUUAAUGCACAAAACACUCCCUUGUAAGAAGGUAAUUCAGAGAGGUAGCAGUAACUUAAUUGAUUCUAAGGAUUCAUGAGGAGAGACCGAUUUAUAUGACUGGGACCCGUCUCACAAUGCUGUCGUUGUAUUAGAUUACGAUUUCUAUGAUCACUUUGUAUAGUUCACCAAACUUAGCAUAAGGAGUGAAAGCUUCCUGAGUCAACAGAGCACGUGAAUUGAAUCAUACAGAGUAAAAAAUUGUGCUAAAUCUUAGUAACCUCAUUCGCGGUCUCAAUGCUCUUCGUUAAAAGUGCCCAAACGUAUAGAGUGAUCUAAGAAUCACUAGAAAAUUUUUGAACGGAAAAAUGGCUCUUACUUGAAUAGUCGACCUAAUUGUAAAUUCCAAACGUGAAGCACACGAUCGAUAUAUUAGUGAGAGAAGAAAAUAUGUCUCUCAGAUGACUCAUUAUAAUCACAUAAUACGAAAUGAGAAUUCUUCACAACAAAUUUGUGGUAUGAAGAAACAAUAAAGUAACACCCUCUUUAUUUUUCUAUACAAAUAAACACAAUGAACCCCCCCUAAGCUCAAAGCCAUCAAUGCAGACCAAACAAUAAUCAAACCCCCUAUUUUCCCUAUCAACUUUUCACUCAAAUCAACUUCCACGAAGCCAACAUUAUUGUGGGCUUGGCUUAUACAAACAAACUCAAAAGGCACACAAAAAAAAGACCAACCUAAUAACAAUUUUCUUUUUACAUAUGUACCUAACCACACUUUUUUUUUUUCCUACCUUUCAAUGUCCAUUGGAGCAAAGGCUUUUCCCAUGUGAUCCACAAAGUGUUUGCUUUUCUUUUGAGCCUCGACAUCUUCAACCUCUUCUUGUUGUUCGUACUCGGACAGAGUUUGGUACUCAACUUUCUCUCCAUAGAUUUUGUUCAAGCACAAGUACAAGCACAUGGACCAAAUAAUUACAAGAACCAAGUACCAGCUAAACUCAAUGUUCACAAGUGACCUAGCCCGCUCGAGCGCCUCAUGGGACCCGCACCGGACCACCUUGUGACCCUCCUCCAAGUUCAUGAAGCAACCCUUGGGCAUAAAUUCUGGGGUCCAAAGCAUGAAUCCCAUGACCAUGAGCCAAACCCCUUGGAAAAGUAUGCUAAUGGACCUAACAAAGCUAAUAAGGAAACAUUUGGGGUAACCAAUUCCCAUGAGAGUGGUGAGGAGAGAGAGAAAGAUGACAACUUGGAGGAGGAGGUGGUACUGGCCUUCGACCCCCAUGUGGUCCGCGGAGUGGAGGUGGAAGAUGAGGAGCUGCUGGCCAAAGGCGGCAGCCCCAAGCAAUUGUGUGAGGCCAUAUUGGGACUUGUUGGGGGAAAACUUGUCAAGAAUAAUUGCAAAACAAGCGUAAACAAAGAAGGUGAGGGAUAUGGUGGAGUGUUCAAAGUUGUGGAGGUGGUAGGAGGGGAUGGUGCCAUCUGGGUCAAAGGGUUGGUGCCGGCUCGGCCCGAUGAAGAGCUCCAUGGAUAUGGACAUGGAGCACCCAACCAUGAUGAGGAAGAGUUCCAAGUACCUUAUCUUUGAGGUGGGGAACCAUGGCAUGGAGGUGUAGUACCUUGGGUUUAGGGCAUGGAGUUUGAUGUGGUUAAGGAGGUGCCACAAGCCUAGGACAAAGAAGCCAAAUCCAGGUGCUACAUGCCCCACCAAAGUGCCCAUGUUCUUUUUUGUUGUCCUUUUUGCUCUUCUUGGUGGUUGUUUGUCCUUGGACAAAGUCAGACAGGCAGACAGAGAGAUAGAGGUAGGGAGAUUUUUGGAAUGAAAAGAGAGAGAGAAAGAGGAUUGGGGUGAACAAGGAUAGGGUCUUGUCCUUGGAGAGAGAGAGAGAGAGAGAGAGGGGGGGACACAAGGAUAAGAGAGAGGAUAGGAUAGGGAAAUUAAGAAAGGUUGGGUUUUUAAAUUGGGUGUUUGAAGGGGUUGAAUAUUUGAAAGCC